rnacentral:rRNA from 1 species
UACGUAGGUGGCAAGCGUUGUCCGGAUUUACUGGGCGUAAAGGGCGUGCAGGCGGUUUGUUAAGUGCAGGGUGAAAGCUCCCGGCUCAACUGGGAGAGGUCCUUGCAUACUGGCAAACUCGAGGGAGGCAGAGGAAAGUGGAAUUCCCGGUGUAGUGGUGAUAUGCGUAGAUAUCAGGAGGAACACCUAUUGCGAAGGCAGCUCGCUGGGACGUUACUGACGCUGAGACGCGAAAGCGUGGGGAGCAAACAGG